rnacentral:rRNA from 1 species
CAGUCGAGGGGCAGCGGGGGUGAUGGCUUGCCAUCGCCUGCCGGCGACCGCGUCACGGGUGAGUAACACGUAUGCAACCUGCCCGCCACAGGGGGAUAAGCGGAAGAAAUUCCGUCUAAUACCGCGUGACGCGGCGCCGGGGCAUCCCGGUGCCGCCAAAGGGAUUACCGGUGGCGGAUGGGCAUGCGGCGCAUUAGCUAGUCGGCGGGGUAACGGCCCACCGAGGCGACGAUGCGUAGGGGUUCUGAGAGGAAGGUCCCCCACACUGGUACUGAGACACGGACCAGACUCCUACGGGAGGCAGCAGUGAGGAAUAUUGGUCAAUGGGCGGGAGCCUGAACCAGCCAAGUCGCGUGAGGGAUGACGGUCCUACGGAUUGUAAACCUCUUUUGCCGGGGAGCAAGCGUGCGUUCGUGAACGCGCGUCGAGAGUACCCGGAGAAAAAGCAUCGGCUAACUCCGUGCCAGCAGCCGCGGUAAUACGGAGGAUGCGAGCGUUAUCCGGAUUUAUUGGGUUUAAAGGGUGCGUAGGCGGGAUGCCAAGUCAGCGGUAAAAAUGCGGUGCUCAACGCCGUCGAGCCGUUGAAACUGGCGUUCUUGAGUGGGCGAGAAGUAUGCGGAAUGCGUGGUGUAGCGGUGAAAUGCAUAGAUAUCACGCAGAACUCCGAUUGCGAAGGCAGCAUACCGGCGCCCUACUGACGCUGAGGCACGAAAGCGUGGGUAUCGAACA